AUUGCUUCUCAGCCUUUUGGCUAAGAUCAAGUGUAGUAUCUGUUCUUAUCAGUUUAAUAUCUGACAUGCAGAUCAACCAGACAGAAAAUUAACAAGGAUAUCCAGGACUUGAA
ensembl:snRNA U2 U2 spliceosomal RNA